rnacentral:rRNA from 4 species
GGGUUGCGGACAGUGUCUGGUGGGUAGUUUGACUGGGGCGGUCUCCUCCUAAAGAGUAACGGAGGAGCACGAAGGUUGGCUAAUCCUGGUCGGACAUCAGGAGGUUAGUGCAAUGGCAUAAGCCAGCUUGACUGCGAGCGUGACGGCGCGAGCAGGUGCGAAAGCAGGUCAUAGUGAUCCGGUGGUUCUGAAUGGAAGGGCCAUCGCUCAACGGAUAAAAGGUACUCCGGGGAUAACAGGCUGAUACCGCCCAAGAGUUCAUAUCGACGGCGGUGUUUGGCACCUCGAUGUCGGCUCAUCACAUCCUGGGGCUGAAGUAGGUCCCAAGGGUAUGGCUGUUCGCCAUUUAAAGUGGUACGCGAGCUGGGUUUAGAACGUCGUGAGACAGUUCGGUCCCUAUCUGCCGUGGGCGCUGGAGAACUGAGGGGGGCUGCUCCUAGUACGAGAGGACCGGAGUGGACGCAUCACUGGUGUUCGGGUUGUCAUGCCAAUGGCACUGCCCGGUAGCUAAAUGCGGAAGAGAUAAGUGCUGAAAGCAUCUAAGCACGAAACUUGCCCCGAGAUGAGUUCUCCCUGAGACUUAGAGUCUCCUGAAGGAACGUUGAAGACGACGACGUUGAUAGGCCGGGUGUGUAAGCGCAGCGAUGCGUUGAGCUAACCGGUACUAAUGAACCGUGAGGCUUAACCUUACAACGCCGAAG